AACAUAUGAUGGAGGGAGGUAUUUCUUGAAGGGGAGGGGGGUGCUGCAUCAUUCAUGAAAUUUUGUCGCCAUUUGAGUUCUGAUCAGAUGCUGUAUUGAUUGAACCUUUAUAAGCUCAUCGUUGCUUUUACUAUCUGGUGUUCUCUGAAGGUAUUGUUUGAAUACAUUCAUUACUUUUAACUCCAAUUAUACCAGAGGCCUCGCGGAUGUCGCUCUUUUGAUGGGAUUACGCCAUCGCAGCUGGCAAUCUGUUCAUCUUUGUUCAAUUAGAAAAGACUCGGGAACUGUUCUUUCUUCGCAGGAUCGUGAGUAUUUCGAGGAGCAGGCUCAGCAGCAGUGAUCACCGUUCAUUCCAUUCAGUUCUCCAUUUCACUUAUCUUAGGUAGUUAUUUGAUUGAGAUUUUCUUGUAAAUCUCUUGUGGAUCUUCAGACUAUGAAUGUUUUAUUUUCUUCCAUUUUGGAUAGUUGUGGACUCGUCACAGACCUCUGAAAUUUUAGAUAUUUCUUUAUCUAUCAGUUUCCUUU